rnacentral:lncRNA from 1 species
UUCUCCCUCCGACAAAGCUCCCUCGUUUUCUCGGACUCAUCCCCCAUAACCAACAGGAAAACGACGUCGCCGCAGUUCCGGCUGAGCUCAACCAGGAAAGGGUACAUUCUAUUGCUCUGCACGCUCGUACUGGCGGCGAAUUCCACCACUACCAGCUUGUUCUUUGCAGCCUUAAGCGCGUCGUCCAACUCCUCCGCGCUGUGGAUCUUUUGGACCCUCUCGCCGUCAUCCUUCGCCGGCGUCUUCUCCGACGUCCCCGGAGCAGCACCGGCCGUUGCUUUAGUGACGAAUAGAGUUCGUUCUUUUGCGGCGGCGGCGGAUGUAGAGAAUAAGGAGACUCUGGCUUUAGCGGCGGACGAUGUUCUGCUAGUAGAGAUGGCUAGGAAAGGGAAACUGGUGGUGGUGGGUUUGGGUUUAGGGGUUUGUGGGAGUGGAGAGUAGGGGGAUUUGGAGAGAGAGUUAGUGAGUGUAGCCAUUGGAACUUAACUGGAGGAGUCUGAGUUAAGUUUCAGGGGAUUGUUGUGAAUCAGGAUGAGGAUGGAUGGAGGAGUGAGAGAGCUUAGAGGAAUUAUCCAUGGGGAAAAAUCUUGAGGGGCCAACAAUGAUGUCCACUCGUUUUGGGUUUGUGACCCGUAGUUAUCCACUGACCACAAUUUUUCGUUUGAUUUAUCUAGUUUCUCCAUUUAAGAUUUUUUUUUCUUUCUCAAAAUACAAAUAAUGGUCGUUUACUAGGAAAAUUCCAAUGAUGAUUAUUGAUAUUAUGCAAACAGAUUUCGGUGACGAGCUGAUGAUACUUUUUCUUCCUCCUUGUCUGUCUUUGGAUUCUGUCGCCGGCUCCCAAUCUCCGCCAACGUUCACAUUCCACCCAUUCGGAGCUUAGCUCCCCAAGAACCAUCUUCGAUUCAGGAGUCGAGGCGGGUUUCCCUCCUAGCUCGAAAACAUGAACGGCCGCAAGCGGGGGGGUCCUCCCCUCUUCUCUCCCCUCUCUUUUUUCCAGGGCGUACCACCCUUCCUUCACUGCAACCAGGAAAGGGUACAUUCUAUUGCUCUGCACGCUCGUACUGGCGGCGAAUUCCACCACUACCAGCUUGUUCUUUGCAGCCUUAAGCGCGUCGUCCAACUCCUCCGCGCUGUGGAUCUUUUGGACCCUCUCGC